UACGUAGGGUGCAGGCGUUAAUCGGAAUUACUGGGCGUAAAGCGUGCGCAGGCGGUUUCUUAAGUCAGAUGUGAAAGCCCCGGGCUUAACCUGGGAACUGCGUUUGAAACUGGGAGACUUGAGUGUGGCAGAGGGGAGUGGAAUUCCGCGUGUAGCAGUGAAAUGCGUAGAUAUGCGGAGGAACACCGAUGGCGAAGGCAAUCCCCUGGGCCUGCACUGACGCUCAUGCACGAAAGCGUGGGGAGCAGACAGG
rnacentral:rRNA from 1 species